AGCGUCGUGCCGCGUUUCGAAGUGCCGACCAUGUUGUCAUCCGGCCCCAAACACAAACGAAAAAAAAGAAAAGGUGAAGCUGCAGCGGACGUCUGAAAAGGGAGGGAGGAGAGGGGCGCUGACAGCAAAUCGCGGCGCGCAAGCGUUCCUCUUUCCGCGCAUUUUGUUUUCCCUUUUUCGGCUGGUCUUCGUUCCGGGGACUCACUUGCAGCCCUCAACAAGGAGCCGGAGCGUGCCUGUGUGCGGUUGUGUGUGUUUGUGUUCCGAAAGGAGCGGUGCGCUACAAGGACGUUCACCCAAACGCGUUUGGCCGCCCAUCGCCUUACCUUGCUUUCCCGCGCCACCGUAUCACGUAGCCGGUGAGGUCUCCACCCCUUCUGUGGUUCUUUACUCUCUCGUUAUCCGUGGUGGUAUGUUUUUGCUCUUUGUGAUUUGAUGGGCAUCAUCGGCCUUCCUCCCCUUGCGUCAGCUCUCCCGCCCGCACCACUCAUGUGUGUUCGGCUUUCUCUCAUCACUCGACAUUCGCGGUCUUUCGGUUGACUUGGCUGACCCUCCACACCCGCCCUCCUUCUUCAUCCAUUGCUGUCUCACUCUUUCGCUCAGUCGCUCACUUUCUCACGGAUCUUUUUUUUUCUCGUGCCUUCACGUUCUGAACUCCCCUCCCUUCUGCUGGUCCUUCCUGCCACUGACUUCCGCGCUUCCUAUUCUGCGCUUUCCUUCGCUGUCUCUUGUAUAUGUGUGCACAUGCACGUGUGUGUGUAUGUGUGGCUCCUGUCUCUGUCUUGUCCUUACCUCCAACUCGUGUGCUCCACCGCCGUUCCUCGUCGCGCUGUCCGUCAACUCUUAUCCACUUCGCUGAUACAUUUCUCUCUAUUUUUAUGUGAAUACAUAUAUAGCACAUAAACAUACGUAUCUAUAUGUAUUUAUUGAUUGUAUUCUCUCGUCUUUCUCUCUUCUUUUUCUUUUUUUUUUUGGUGGGUGCGUACUUCGCCUGAGUGAGGCGUAUUGCUAUUGUGGUUGUUGUCCCUCGUUGUCAGCCACACUGCUGCGGAUCAGCAAGCCACAAACAUAGAAGGAGGCAGAAAAGGGAGAGGGAACGAGGGGGCGACGGGAGGGAGUAGGAGGAGUCGCGUGACGAGUGCACUGUUGUCGCUCUCGAUUCUCUCGCUUAGAUCCUCCUUCCGCCUUGGCGCGCGUUCUGUCCCCCAACGUCUUCAGUUUCUACGGAGGCGCGCACAGGAGCAAACACCACGAGUGCCGAUUUCCGUUCAGUGUUGAGCUCCAUCGUUAUCAUCAUCGGACAGCCCACACACACAAACACACACACACACAUAGAGUAGAAGUGUGCAGCAGCUGUCUUCAGCUUCUUUUCGUUCGUUUGUUUCCAACCACCGGCUUGCUAUUCAUCCUUGUUCUUGCGAGAAACGCCCCGCGCGUUGUUUACGCCCUCCCCUCUCCUUUCCUCCACAUACAGACGGCAUAGGCGGGCAUGAUAAUCGAAUGGAGUUCCCCGUGUUUGUGGCCUCCGACGUUCACGGCGAGAAGGUGAACCUCGCGCUUCGCUACAAUCCACGCACAACAACGCUGGAUCGUUUCCUGAGCGUCGCGUCGCGCUGCUUUGAUGACGUCGCACAUUUAACGCGUCGGGGCUGUCUUCAGCCAUUUUCUGCUGCCUACAUCUACAGAGAUGUACAGUGCCAGUGGGACGUGCUAGAGGAUUGCACCCAGCUUUCACCCUUCUGCCAAGUCUAUGUGUUCCGCCAGCUGUUCAACGAGGUCGUCGCGGCGAUUUCCGACCCUCUGGACGCGUCGCAGCUACUCUCGGUGCACGACAGAAAAGCCGACUGUGCGACUUCUUGUACAGGUGCAUCGUUCUUGGCGGGUUUGCCACCUCUCAACUCAUCGAAAUCGACCUCGCCGAUCCGUGUCGCCGCCGACCGCUGGGCAGUUUCGCAAAGCCGCCAGCAUCCCGAGACGGCGAGGCCUCGCUUUGGGGUGCCGUCGCUGCUGUGCAAGAACGACAGUCCACUGGUACAUGCGACACACCCGACAAAAUCAGAGAGGGCAACUCAUAUCGGUGAUGAGGCGGAAGGUUUCCAUCAUGUACGGUCCGCGGACAGUGCGGCAGCAUUCCGCUGUGUGAAGUCACACCGCUUUCGUAUGCAGAUCUUGUCCCCUCCAGUGGAGACUCAGAUGCACCGUCAAGACGCGGCGCGCAACGCGACAAGCACGUCCGUUCAUUUAGCCGCUCUCGCUGCGCUAGGGCCACAGGCUGCGUAUGUGAAGCCGAUGAGACGUCACCUGAGCGACUCGUACAACGCGCCCCCCGCACCAUCCUCCUCCUCCGCGGGAGAGGUGGCCAUUCCAAGGAGCUGGUAUGACUCUUCUAGGCACUCUUUUCCCAGUAGAUCACCGCGGGCACGCACGCCAGGUCAGUCGCCUUCUCAACCCUUGUUUGUGUCAGCAUACAGCGGCGGCACAGUGUUGCCCUUCCCACCACGGGAAGGUCGAUCAAGGGCGCUGUCGCAGACUGACGAGCGCCACCGCGAGAUGCUCGCGUACAGCGAAGCACGCAGCGGGCGCGGCGACAGCAUCCUGCGUGAGGAGCGGGCGCGCGUAGCGGCACACAAGCUUUUGGGGAUCGAUGAGCUGCGCUCACAUCUGCGAGAGGAGACUCGGCAACUGAAACGGACACUGAGUGACUUACUGCACAGUCGCGUUUCGCCGCUGAACAGAGCUGAUGACGGUACAAUAUAUAAUGCGUCUCCUCCUGGCAUGUCUGUGUUGUGGUGAGACUGGCGUGGUGUGCCCUGCCCUGCCUCCCUUGAUCUUUACAAGAACGUCCCUCUCUCUCUCCGCCCCCCCCCCCCACUUCCUCUCUG
rnacentral:misc_RNA from 1 species